GCUUCUGUAGCUCAACGGUAGAGCGAAACAUUGAAGCUGUUUAGGUUAUAAGUUCAAAUCUUAUCGGGAGCA
rfam:Stachybotrys chlorohalonata IBT 40285 unplaced genomic scaffold scaffold1832, whole genome shotgun sequence.